UUCUUUUUGUCAUUUCCCUAUUUUUUCCUAUUCCCUGCACCUUCUCCUCUACGACUCCUCCUUCACAAAGCCCACUCUUGUCUUCCUCUUCUCUAUAUUUCGCUUUUUUUUUUUUGCAUUUUUUUCUUUUUUAUUCCUUUUCUCCUUUGUCUUUUCCUUACUUCGUCCUUUUCGCCUGCACUCUUUCAACCCAGCAUCGUCUGCCUCUCGCCCCUCCUUCAGUGAAGUCAAAGGUCCGCAGAAGGCCAGAACAUCAACCUUACUUCUUUGAUGAUCCAAAAAAAAAAAAACAAAAAAAAAAACAUCUAACAAUUCCAAGAAUCUAAGCUUAAUCAAAAUGAUUUAAGCCUCUUGCAAACUAUCACGGCCACAAACAUCUUCUUUCAAAAUCACUAUUUAAGAAAUUCUGAUUCGGAAACAUGCCACACAUACGAAAAUGCUAAAACAAGAACAUCCAAAACAGAGGGUAGCAGCGGAGGCCUAUUAAAACUCAUCUCACAAGCAAAAGAAUCCAGGAAUGCACAGAGGACUAAGAACGGAUGUAGGUAUUUUGGUCAGACAUUUCGUCGAACACGUGGAGAUGUUUGAGAAGAGCGUCAGCUAAACGGAACCUUCAUAUUUAUUGGAGACACGAAAUUAGACCAAAAACAGCAAAUGAAGUUCGAAUUCCGCACGGAAACGACAGAUUAUACUCAGUACGAACAAAAGAACAGCAAGCAUCAGAGACAAAGACGACCAAACAUGAGCAUGUAGCUAGGCAUUUUAUCAAGCAUACGGCGUGCACUAAAAAAACAAGAGAUUUUUGCCACGAUCGAAACUCAAACAUGGGCCUAGGUUCCUAACCGAGCAUUCCAGAACACCGGAUCAGUAG
rnacentral:lncRNA from 1 species